rnacentral:rRNA from 1 species
GGUAGUCCACGCCGUAAACGAUGAAUACUCGGCAUUUGGCGGGCGAUUUUCGUUCGCCGGGUGCCCCAGCUAACGCGAUAAGUAUUCCGCCUGGGAACUACGAGCGCAAGCUUAAAACUCAAAGGAAUUGACGGGGGCCCGCACAAGCAGCGGAGCGUGUGGUUUAAUUCGACGCAACGCGCAGAACCUUACCCAGGUUUGACAUGGCCCUGCACGCCCCUGAAAGGGGGGUCGCCUUCGAGGGUGGGCCACAGAUGCUGCAUGGCCGUCGUCAGCUCGUGUCGUGAGAUGUUGGGUUAAG